rnacentral:lncRNA from 1 species
UAGUGUUCAUCAUGGCGAUCAGAUGGCACCAGGACAGAUGGAGCUCCUGGCCAGUGUGAGUCUUAGCGGUGCAGGAGGGGAGACCCUGAAGAAGAGAGCCUGUCUAAAUGGAUGCCUGCGGAUUGGAUGUCCAGAGGCUUUGGAGGAGGAAGUUCUCCA